GUGCCUAUACAUGCAAGUCGAACGCACUCUCGUUUAGAUUGAAGGAGCUCGCUCCUGAUUGAUAAACAUUGAGUGAGUGGCGGACGGGUGAGUAACACGUGGGUAACCUGCCCUAAAGUGGGGGAUAACAUUUGGAAACAGAUGCUAAUACCGCAUAAAACCUAACACCGCAUGUGUAGGGUUGAAAGAUGGUUUCGGCUAUCACUUUAGGAUGGACCCGCGGUGCAUUAGUUAGUUGGUGAGGUAAAGGCUCACCAAGACCGUGAUGCAUAGCCGACCUGAGAGGGUAACCGGCCACACUGGGACUGAGACACGGCCCAGACUCCUACGGGAGGCAGCAGUAGGGAAUCUUCCACAAUGGACGAAAGUCUGAUGGAGCAACGCCGCGUGAGUGAAGAAGGUUUUCGGAUCGUAAAACUCUGUUGUUGGAGAAGAAUGUAUUUGAUAGUAACUGAUCAGGUAGUGACGGUAUCCAACCAGAAAGCCACGGCUAACUACGUG
rnacentral:rRNA from 1 species